CAGCCGUAAACGAUGUGCGUUAGGUGUAUCGACGACCACGAGUCGUCGAGGUGCCGAAGGGAAACCGCGAAACGUACCGCCUGGGAAGUACGGUCGCAAGGCUGAAACUUAAAGGAAUUGGCGGGGGAGCACCACAACAGGUGGAGCCUGCGGUUUAAUUGGACUCAACGCCGGAAAUCUCACCGGAUAGGACAGCAGAAUGAUUGCCGGGCUGAAGACUCUGCAUGACUAGCUGAGAGGAGGUGCAUGGCGUAGACGUCU
rnacentral:rRNA from 1 species